rnacentral:tRNA from 1 species
AACCGUAGCCAAGUGGUAAGGCGUGGGUCUGCAAAACCUUGAGCACCGGUUCAAAUCCGGUCGGUUC